AGACAGACAGACAGGGACACACACACGGACACAGCCAGACACCGGAUAAAUGCUCACAACUGCACACACAACCGUCGCACUCUUUCCCACGCGUUACUGGGGUGUGUGAGCGCCACCCGCACCCCCACUCCGGAUCCCCCGUUCACACAGCAGCUGGUGUCAUUCCGCAGUCACACUCUCUCUCUCCCUGAAGCCCAGUCGGUGACUUUGGGGUUCUUUAGCUCCCCCAUUACAGACAUGCGGGGAUCUCUGUGGCUGUUUCUCUGUGCGCUGCCGCUGUUCCCAGGUUCGGUGGCUGGGAACUCGCUGACCCAGAUCCCGGCUUCUCUGUCAGCCACGGAAGGGCAACGGGUGGAGAUAAGAUGUCAAUACAGCACCUCCUACAGCAGCUACGCCCUGGACUGGUACCAGGAGAGGCCAGGGAAGGAACCCCUCUUCCUGCUGGGAAGAUACUCCUAUGGCUCGGAGCGCAAAUCCGAUUCUGUGGCCCCUCGGUUCUCGGCGCAGCUGGACACCGGAGCGAAGUCUCUCACGCUGUCCAUAGACGGGGCGCAGCGGGCUGACUCGGCGGUGUAUUUCUGCACUCUCUGGGAUCCACCGUGCUACAGAGCGCCCUGGGCUCCCGACACAAACUGCCGGAGGGGGCGGCAGGUGUCUGAAAGGCGGUGA